rnacentral:rRNA from 1 species
AUUGAACGCUGGCGGCAUGCCUUACACAUGCAAGUCGAACGGCAGCAUGGAAGAGCUUGCUCUUCUGAUGGCGAGUGGCGAACGGGUGAGUAAGGCAUCGGAACGUACCGUGUAAUGGGGGAUAACGUAGCGAAAGUUACGCUAAUACCGCAUACGACCUGAGGGUGAAAGCAGGGGAUCGCAAGACCUUGCGUUAUACGAGCGGCCGAUGUCAGAUUAGCUAGUUGGUAGGGUAAAGGCCUACCAAGGCGACGAUCUGUAGCGGGUCUGAGAGGAUGAUCCGCCACACUGGGACUGAGACACGGCCCAGACUCCUACGGGAGGCAGCAGUGGGGAAUUUUGGACAAUGGGGGCAACCCUGAUCCAGCCAUGCCGCGUGGGUGAAGAAGGCCUUCGGGUUGUAAAGCUCUUUCGGCCGGGAAGAAAUCGCACAGGCUAAUACUCUGUGUGGAUGACGGUACCGGCAUAAGAAGCACCGGCUAACUACGUGCCAGCAGCCGCCGUAA